ACUUGGACAAGGAUGGUUUUAGGAAGUUAUAUUUUAUUUGUACUCAUUUCAUAUUCUUAUGGACAGUCCCUGACCUCCUCUCCUGCUGUGGUGAAGAAACCUGGAGAGUCAGUCACUCUGUCCUGUACUGUCUCGGGAUUCUCAAUGAGCAGCUACUACAUGUACUGGAUCCGUCAGAAACCAGGACAAGGACUGGAGUGGAUCGGCUACAUUAGCACAGGCACUAGCAUUGGAUUUGCUCAGUCUCUGCAGUGCCCAGUUCUCCAUCACUAAAGACAACAAUAAAAACAUGCUGAACCUAGAAGUGAGUCUGAAAGCUGAAGACACGGCUGUUUAUUACUGUGCCAAAGACACACACUGA